rnacentral:rRNA from 1 species
AGCAGCCGCGAUAAUUCCAGCUCCAAUAGCGUAUAUUAAAAUUGUUGCAGUUAAAAAGCUCGUAGUUGAAUUUCGGGAUCAAUACGUCGGUCGUGCUUUCGGGUACGUACUGGCGUCAUUGGUUUCUCCUUUCUGACGAACCAUGAUGUCAUUAAUUUGGUGUUAUGGGGAUUAGGACUGUUACUUUGAAAAAUUAGAGUGUUUAAAGCAGGCAUUAGCUUGAAUACAUUAGCAUGGAAUAAUGAAAUAGGACGUUCGAUCCUAUUUUGUGGUUUCUAGGAUCAACGUAAUGAUUAAUAGGGAUAGUUGGGGGCAUUAGUAUUCAAUUGUCAGAGGUGAAAUUCUUGGAUUUAUUGAAGACUAACUACUGCGAAAGCAUUUGCCAAGGAUGUUUUCAUUAAUCAAGAACGAAAGUUAGGGGAUCGAAGACGAUCAGAUACCGUCGUAGUC